GGCUGGUCCGAGUGCAGCGGUGUUUAUAACUAAUUGAUCACAGCCAGUUCCAGGUUCCUUUGUUCCUUCUCCAUUCCCACUGCUUCACUUGAUCAGCCUUAA
ensembl:misc_RNA Y_RNA Y RNA